AUGGCGCAAUGGGACACCCUCGUGGACGGCGCGCUCGCGAGCCUGGCCGCUAGGAGACUGCUGUUCAACACGCGCCUCAUCGCCCUCGCGCCGCCGCCGGCGCCCUCCGAAACCAGAUUCACCGGACCGGGGCCCUGGGACCGCGCCACCGUCGAGAUCCAGGUCGACCGCACCUCCAUCCGACAAUGGCUCGCCGCAAAUGGGGAGGUGAGCAGCCAAGAAGAAGACGAGGCGAACCGGGAACUGAUCCUCUUCUCCGGGAACGACUACACGUGCCUCAGAGCAUCUCCAGCCGUUGGCCCCCAAGGACGCAUAAAAAUCGCAGCUCAAGAGUAUGGAAUGGGGCCGAGAGGCUCUUCGUUGAUCUGCGGGUACACUACUUAUCACAAAUUGGUGCAGGAGUCACUGGCGGAACUGCAGAAAAAAGAGGAAACCACCCAGGGACCAUAUUCUUCUCCAAUCGGAGUUUUGCUCAAGUCUCGAAUAAACGCAGAGGAUGAGAGGAUCGCAAUUUUCUCAGAUGCGCUGAACCAUGCCUCCACCGUUGACGGGAUCCGCCUUGUGGAGAGGCAGCACCAAGCAGUGGCCUUCGUCUACAAGCACUGUGACAUGUCGCACCUUGAUUUCCUGCUGUCCAGUUGCUCAAUGAAAAAGAAAGUUGUUGUCACAUAUAGGCAAGCACAUGGAACGCUUCUUUGCGGCGAGAACGGUGGUGGCAUACCUGAGCUGUUUGGAUGUGACGAUGACAUUGACAUAUGUGUUGGCUCCUUAAGCAAGGGAGUUGGUUGCCAGGGUGGUAAAACUUCCACUAGAUGGAAGAGGCUGAUUCUAUCGCGAGGCCGCUCAUUCAUAUUUUCGACAGCUUUGCCGCUGCCCGUGGUUGCUUCUGUGCAUGUCAUCUGGGAGCACGUGCAGUAUUUUGCUUCUCUGACCAAACUCAACGUAACCAGCCCCAUCAUCGUCAUCCUUGUCGGAAGCGAGGAAGCGGCGGUCAAGGCUCACAGGCAUCUUCUGAGAUCUGGAUUUCUCGUCCAGCCAAUCAGACCGCCCGUGGUGCCACCCAACUCAAGCAGGUUGCGAAUUACUCUUAGCUCGGCUCAUACCUCGGAUGACAUCAGAAGGCUUGUUGACGCGCUCGCUCCCUGGCUCCUGGCUCAACAUGUUGAGCAGGGUUGCGCUUCAGUUUCAAGAUUAUAA
rnacentral:rRNA from 1 species